UAUUAUAGGGAGGUGUAACACCCCAAAGUUCGGAAAGCCAAGAAAAGAAAGAAAAACCUCGAGUUUAAGGGGGACUCGGCGAGUCCAAGGAGGGACUCGGCGAGUCCGAACGGGAUCCGGGGUGAGGUGUUAGCGACCGACUCGGCGAGUCGGCCAAGGAGACUCGACGAGUUGGGUCUGAACGAGGAAAACCCUAAAUCCGGGACUUGGAGCCUAUUUAAGCGUCUCAUUCUCUUUCCUAGGGUUCCUUUAGUGCCUCUUUACCCCCAGAACAUCAACCCUAGCCGUCAUGUUCGUUUUUGAGCUAGAUCUUGCAUUGAAGAGAGCACUAUAAGCUUGGAGAAGGAAGAAAAGCCUUGGAAGUGCAAGAAGGGACUGUAGAUCCGAGAUUGAGAAGACAUUUCAGAUCAAUUGGAGGUAAUAAGCUGCUGAUUAGACUCCCUUUUGCAUCUAGAUCUAUUCUUAUGUGUGGGUUUUAGUCAUUAUUGGUAUGAUUGGUAACCAAUUCGAGUUGGAGGGUCAGAUCUGAGGUUGCUACCUCAGAUCCAUGUUGGUUUUGGUCUUGAAUCCCCUAAAGUAUCAGCCCUUGGUAUGUUGAAGAAGCAUGUUUGCCAUAAACCCUAGUUUAGUGUGUUUUGAGCAUAGAUCUCUCAAUCUACACGUAAAGUUUGCCACUUUACGUGGGGAAUAGGCCCUAGAAGUAUGGAUCUAUGAGUUGGAAGUUCUGUUUGGCUCGAAAAGCCACUGCAUGGAUUGAAGACUGGAUAGACUCGGCGAGUCCUUCGAGUGGACUCGGCGAGUAGCUUGAAGAUGAGGAGGAACUCGACGAGUAGGAUGAACAGCUCGUCGAGUCGGUUGAAGUUAGGCAUGGACUCGGCGAGUUGGAUGAACAACUCGACGAGUUGGUUGAAGAUUGUCUUGGACUCGGCGAGUCUGUUCUUGGACUCGGCGAGUCAGAUCGCGAAACCCUAAACCCUUUGAGUUGAGACUCGAAUCAGUGAGUCGGGUGGUGACUCAGCGAGUUGGACAGGACAGGACUUGGAACUAGUUGGACUCGGCGAGUCAUGGACUGACUCGGCGAGUCGGGUCGCGAAUAAGAAAGACCCUGAGCUUAUGAACUCGGCGAGUCUUUAGGAAGACUCGGCGAGUAGGGUUGACCUGGAAGGUUGACUUUGACCAGAGUUGACUUAGUUGACUGUCAGACUAAGUGUUAUAUGUAUAUUGAUAGCUCGGAGAGCUAGAGGAGCAGUGGUUCAGGGGAUUGUCGAGUAGCAGCCAGAGGUUUAUCAGCAGGGCUCAGCAGUUCAGGUGAGUUUCCUUCCAGUAGGAACGGGUCUAAGGCCACAAUGCCGGCCCGUUUAGCUAGCAGUAGUUUUCGGAUGUUGAUCUGAUAUAGUAGUUAGUAUGUUUGAUGCCUUCGUGGCUCAGACAGGAUUUAUGUGUUAUGUGUUCCGGGCUACGGCCCGAAGUAGUAUGCAGUAUACGUGUGUUCAUGCUAGUUGAUAUGUUUAUGUUAUGUUCUGUUCAGUUAGCCCGGACUUCGGUCCGAUGCAGGGGACAAGGUCCCAGUUAGUCCGGACUUCGGUCCGAUGCAGGGGGCAAGGCCCCAGUUAGCCCGGACUUCGGUCCGAUGCAGGGGACAAGGUCCCAGUUAGUCCGGACUUCGGUCCGAUGCAGGGGGCAAGGCCCCAGUUAGCCCGGACUUCGGUCCGAUGCAGGGGACAAGGUCCCAGUUAGUCCGGACUUCGGUCCGAUGCAGGGGGCAAGGCCCCAGUUAGCCCGGACUUCGGUUCGAUGCAGUGGGCAAGGCCCAAUAUGUGCUUUAUAUGUUUUUUUGAAGUAUGUUGUAGAUUGGGGGAGCUCACUAAGCUUCGUGCUUACGGUUUUCAGUUUUGGUUUCAGGUACUCGGUUUUCAAAAGAGGAGCUCGGGAAGAUUGCAGAGCACACACCAUAGUCAGUUAGCCUGGGAAUGUUUGACUCUGAUAAUGAUAUUAUGUUUUGAAUUUAAUACUCAAAAGUUAUGUUUGACUUAUGAUACGUUGUUAUAAAUCUAUUUUUAGUAAUGUUUAAAAGAAAUUUUUAGUCAUGAUUUUUGGGUCGUUACAAAUUGGUAUCAGAGCCUUGGUUUGAGGGAUUCGGGCGCACUCCUGAGUGUGUUUGAACUCAAACUAAGGAAGUGGUAUAUAGUUUUCAAAAGAAAAAUCGUAGUUACAAAAGAAUUUUGAGAAAAGAAAACAAUUUUUAGAAAAAGCAAAAAGAGUUUUGAAAAGAGAAAAGGGUGUGGUGCAUGCAAUCAGCCGAGCUCAAGUAAGUACUCCCAAUUUACCCAUACAAGUUAUAUUAUGAUUAUCAGUAUCGGUUUCAGUUUCAGUUUCAGUUCCAGCUUCAGUAGAACAGCAUGCUAGAAUAGGACUAAGGAUCUAGGAUGAUGCCUUAUGUGCCUGCUUUAUGUGUUCAGCUUUAUGAGAAUUGCAUGCUAGUAUUGAGUAGACAGCAGUAGGAUAGCCUGUUUAGGUUAUGCCUGGUAGCACGAGCUUAGCAUUGUAUGCUAGUGUAGUUUCUCGUUAUGAGAAUAGUUUUGCCUGAGUAUGUCUCCUUUAUCCGAAUGCUGCUUGCUUUGUGCUUUGUGGGACUCCGAGUGGUGGGAUUUAGCCAUUAGGUGAAUACGUCACAUCACAUGUGAGCAGGGUUGAAUAAUCUCAGAGUGCUGGAUUUGGCCCUACUGCGCAGCUCUCGUUUGAGUCCAACCGUUGUAGGGACGAGACUUUUACUCGAAGGAUUAUCCGAGCCUCAUUACAUGUGAUGGUAUUCAGGUGGUGGCUAAUUGGCAUUACAAGGAGGCCUUCAGCAGCUGAGGACUGGUUUGAGUAGAGUCAGAGGUUCCCUAGGGCAAGCCUAGGAUGAGAGUAGCAGAGAUCAGUUGAAGAGUAAAGGGGACUUGGUGGAGUUGAGGUAACUCUUGAGGAAAGUACGGAUAGAUGUGGAAGGUAGUAGGGGCCCAUACUACUGAAAGCAGAGGAUCCGUAUUCGAUUCAAGAGGGGCCGAGGCAAAAUCAAGGAACUAGUAGAGUAUGCGAGAAAUUCCUCAGCAGUAGUAUGUAAAUUGAUCAGGAUUUUGUUAUAUUUUCAGCAUGGUGACGUUGCGCGAGAUACCAGUUAGCAGUUCAGGUGUCGAGGAGGGGUCUGGCUCGGGCUUCAGAGCCGGGCAGCUUGAUGAUCAGAUGAGGGAUUUCAUUUCCGCAGAGAUUACGCGCAACAUCAUUGAUCAGACUCCAGUGAUUUUCGGUUCGGUUAGAGAGGCCAUUGUGGAGCUCAUGGACAGUCAUCUUGAGGCCUUUAAGGCCGGGUUAGUUUCAGGACAGAUUGGGGCUCGUCUAGGUCCCGAAUCUUAUGGAGUUCAGGGAUCCAUCAGGGAGGGAGAUCCCAUUUCUAGUUCCUGCCAUCAGGGGGCAGGGGUGAGUGGGGAAUUCUGUCUCCAAGAGAGACCAUUGCAUGAUUGGAUAGUUGAGGAAGUUUCGCGAGCCUUUCGCGAGGAUCUGCCCGACAUGGUCGUGAGGAUCACUGAUAGAUUGAUAGCGAGGCUUCAGGAUCAGACAUCUGUUGUUCAGUUAGCAGGCGUUGCCGUUGGGGUAACGCAGGAGCGAGAGUCGGGCAGGGAGUCAGAAGGGAAAAGGAAAAUUGAUGAGACUCAGGUAGCCACAGGUUCGGGUAAGAGGCCCAAGGGUCCAGAUUUGAGGACGAGGAACUAUCAGAGCCGCAGUCGAUGCGGGAAGUGCGGAAGGACGCACAUGGGUGUGUGUAGGCGUAGAAGUGGUGGCGAUGCUGGGUGUUUCAAGUGCGGCCAGAUUGGUCAUUUUAGCAGAGACUGUGUUGUUACCAUCGCCCAGGGGCUUGAUCCGUUAUGUUUCCAUUGCAGUCAGAGGGGCCACAAGAAGGCCCACUGUCCGAGUUUGUAUCCAGCAGGGCAGGUGCCAGCUCCUGCCCUUGGGACUUCGAGUACCGCCAGCAGUUGUCGAGGCCCGGCAAGGGUGCCUACGGCUCAGAGCCGAGUUUUCCGGUAGAUUUCAGCAGGGAUUCGAGCAGCACUGAGUAAUGAAGGUACGUAACUUUUGUUUUUCUGUCAGCUUAUGUCAUGAUUAUAUUGUUAUGGUUCUGCAUCAAAUUGUGGUAUAAGUGUUGUGUUAUAGUGUGGCUUGCUUGUGAUUAUGUUAUAUGCCAUUUGCAUACCUCGGAUAAUUGGUUGGUAGUUAGGGGAUGUGCUCUUAUGGAGAAGGUUUCGGAGGAUGCAGUAACUAUAGCAUGGUUGGGAGAGAUUUGGUUCGUUUCGCUAGUUCGGAGUGGUUAGUGUUGGGAUGGAUUGGUUAGAUCCCUAGCUAUGGCAGGCUUGGGCUCCUUAGCAGAAUGAUUAUAGAAUGGCAGCAAAGAUCGGGAUCUCUUUUGAGUGUGAAGCAGCAAGGGGUAAGCAGGAUCGAAGUGGGGGAGAACCCUCCGGGGAUACAUGGAUAAGAGUCUCGUAGACUCAGAAUGAGUGUGCGGCCUCUGAGAAGAAAUGGUAGUAGCACAGUGAUGGAUGGAUUGAGAAGUUCAGAAUUGGGAGUUCGAGAACUUUUCCCAGCAGUUAGUUCAUGUAAUCGAGAUGGUUAGAAGCUGGUUGGGAAUCCAGGAUUGGAGGACCACCUGUCGGACGCAUGAGAGUCGGAAUGAAGAUCCUGAGAACGGGUAACAAGAGAUGUUUUCGUAUUAGUAGCCAGUGUCUGAGGCAGCAUGCAGGUUGCGUAGAUUCAGGAGUUGGGAGGUUGGAAACUUCCCAACAAUAGCUUCUUGUAUCCGGAUUAGUAAACGGUUGGUUUGGGAACCAAGCCGAAGGAUUCCUCGACGAAGCGCUAAGUAUAUCAAGGAUAUAAGAUGUCGAGGAUGAUGCAGAAUUCAAAGUCUAAGGACUGUUUUUUUUUGAAAUCGGGAUGAGGAAUCACUAGCGGGACUAGGGAUAGUCAGGAUGUUCUCGAGAUAGUGGUAGUGUUGUAAGUCUGCGGGGGCAGCCGUAGCAUUCACUAGCAGUCAGAUGGUAGUAGUAGUGGUGUUGUAAGUCUGCGGGGGUAGCCGUAGCAUCCACUAGCAGCCAGAUAGUAUUAGAGAGUUGUAAGUCCGCGAGCGUAGUCGCAGCCUUUUAUCAGAUUGGUAGGUAGCAUGAGCGCGUGUUAGACGCGGGAAAGCAGUUGUACCCACCAGUUCGGGUGCAGCAGUGAGGAUAUGGGAAUCCACGGGUUAGCUUUCGGAUUUCCCAAAGGGAUCAGUUAUGGCUAAGUCAGCAAUUUGGGCUAUAGAUCGUCACAUCAGUUAUGAGAUCAGAGUCGCAGUGGACCGUUGGGGUUCGGGUAUGUUGUGGGCUACCGUCAGUCUGGGAGCCAUCAUGUUGUUAGUCGUGGAAUUGAUGAUGUCAGGAGGUGACGUAUGAACCCGAUCGGUUGGAUCGGAAGGUUGCUAGAGCCACAGUGACAGGAUAACUAGUGGAAACUAGUCCUAGAGGAAGAUUUCGUUCAGAAGUCGUGGAAGCGACUAAGUGAGGAGUCCCUUGACUCCACAGUUGGGUUGGAGUUCAGUGUUUCAGGCAGCUCAGUGUUUCAGCCAGUUCAGUGUUUCAGGCAGCUCAGUGUUUCAGUCAGUUCAGUGUUUCAGGCCGUUCAGCGUUUCAGGCAGUUUAGUGUUUCAGGCAUGUUCAUUAUUGCAGGCAGUUCAGUGUUUGGAAGGUUUCAGGGUUUUGGGUCAGUAUUAGUUUUGUGUUGGAAUGCAAGUGCUGACGGUAUAGUUGGUUGAUUUGGAAAUGGCAAGUCUCUCUCAGCAGGAUCAGUUGAACCUUCUGCCAAGUGUAAGUGAUCUGUAAGGAUAGCUAGGCAGGUAGCCUUUCUUUCAGGAUGGAAGGCUCGAGUUAGUAGGAGUUGAGUAAUCAGAUGGGAUAUAAGCAAGCUGUUUCCAGCAGCAUCGUUUCAGUAUGAGCGGCAGAAUAGAUAUAACAGUUAUGGAUAGUCGAAGUAUCUUUAGGAGUCGCUGGAAGAGACUAGGAGUUUGCGAUGGAGUGUAGUGACCGGUGGGAGUCCGGUAACUCAGAUAUAGGGAGAUUGGUUAGACCAGAGUAGUCUCAGUGCAUCCGGUAGGCGAAUGGGAGGCAGCAGGAUUUUCAGUCGGAGGAAGUAACGUUGAGGAAAUUAUGGAAAAGAGAAGGAUUCAGUAUGUUCCAACGGUAAUGAUCGGCAUGGUGAGUGGCUGGAGUGUCGGACAAAAGGGUGUUAGAUUUUCCAGACAGAGAAUUGGAGGCAGUUCGCAGGCAGUUGAUCAUAGCAAACUUCGAGGACGAAGUUUAGUUUAAGUGGGGGAGAGUUGUAACACCCCAAAGUUUGGAAAGCCAAGAAAAGAAAGAAAACCUCAAGUUUAGGGGAGACUCGGCGAGUCCAUGGAGGGACUCGGCGAGUCCGAGCGGGAUCCGGGUUGUGGUGAAAGCGACCGACUCGGCGAGUCGGCCAAGGAGACUCGACGAGUUGGGUCUGAUCGAGGAAAACCCUAAAUCUGGGACUUGGAGACUAUUUAAGCGUCUCAUUCUCUUUCCUAGGGUUCCUCUACUGCCUCUCUACCCCAGAACACCAAACCCUAGCCGUCAUAUCUCCUAGUUGAGCCUUGGAAGGUGCUUUAAAGCUUGGAAAAAGGAAGAAGGAACUUGGAGGAGCAAGAAGGAGCCAUAGAUCUGGGAUUGUGAGUUCAUUUUGAGCACUUGGAGGUAAUAAACUAGUUCCUGGACCCUUUUUGCACCUAGAUCUAUGUGUGGUUGUUGGGGCUCUUUUGCCAUAAUGUUAUUAUUUUGGGUUAGAAGCCGGAUCUGGAGUUGCUACUUCAGAUUCAAGUGUUUUAGGGCCUGGAGAAGCAUAAAGUAUCAGUCAUUGUGUUGAUUUUGAAGUCCCUUGGCCUUACACCCUAGUUAAUGGCGUAUCUUGCCUAUAUCUCCUUCUCUACACGUAAAGUUUGCAACUUUACGUAAGGAAUAGACCUUAAAAGAGUGGAUCUACAGUUUGGAGUCCAUGCAUGACUCAAAGGUCCUCUGCAUGUAUGUAGAAUCGACUGGACUCGGCGAGUCCUUCGAGUGGACUCGGCGAGUAGCUUGAAGAUGAGGAGGAACUCGACGAGUAGGAUGAACAGCUCGUCGAGUCGGAUGAAGAUGGGCAUGAACUCGGCGAGUUGGAUGAACAACUCGGCGAGUUGGAUGAAGUUUGUCGUGUGCUCGGCGAGUCUGUUCUUAGACUCGGCGAGUUAGGUCGCGUGGUCCCAAACCCUUCGAGUUAAGUCUCGAGUCAGCGAGUCGAGCCAGGACUCAGUGAGUUGGGCUGGACAGGAAUCGGGAAUCAGCAGACUCGGCGAGUCAGGGGCUGACUCGGCGAGUAGAGUCGCGAGUGAAAGGACUCUGGACUUAUGAACUCGGCGAGUCAGUAGGGUGACUCGGCGAGUAGGGUUGACCUGGAAGGUUGACUUUGACCAGAGUUGACUUAGUUGACUGUCAGACUAAGUGUUAUAUGUAUAUUGAUAGCUCGGAGAGCUAGAGGAGCAGCGGUUCAGGGGAUUGUCGAGUAGCAGCCAGAGGUUUAUCAGCAGGGCUCAGCAGUUCAGGUGAGUUUCCUUCCAGUAGGAACGGGUCUAAGGCCACAAUGCCGGCCCGUUUAGCUAGCAGUAGUUUCGGAUGUUGAUCUGAUACAGCAGUUAGUAUGUUUGAUGCCUUCGUGGCUCAAACAGGAAUUAUGUGUUAUGUGUUCCGGGCUACGGCCCGAUGUAGUAUGCAGUAUAUGUGAGUUUAUGCCAGUUGAUAUGCUAUGAUAUGCUGUAGUCAGUUAGCUUCGGACUUCGGUCCGAUGUCAGCUUCGGACUUCGGUCCGAUGGAGGGGGCAAGGCCCCAGUCAGUUAGCUUCGGACUUCGGUCCGAUGUCAGCUUCGGACUUCGGUUCGAUGUAGGGGGCAAGGCCCCGUUAGCCCGGACUUCGGUCCGAUGCAGUGGGCAAGGCCCAAUAUGUGCUUUAUAUGUUUUGUGUGAUAUGUGGUAGAUUGGGGGAGCUCACUAAGCUUCGUGCUUACGGUUUUCAGUUUUGGUUUCAGGUACUCGGUUUUCAAAAGAGGAGCUCAGGAAGAUUGCAGAGCACACACCAUAGUCAGCUAGCUUGGGAAUGUUUGACUCUGAUAAUGAUGCUAUGUUUUGAAUUUAAUACUCGAAAGUUAUGUUUAACUUAUGAUACGUUUUAUAAAUCCAGUUUUAGUAAUGUUUUAAAAGAAAUUUUUAGUCGUGAUUUUUGGGUCGUUUUAGGAGGGGCUUAAAUGAGAGGAGGGUUGAGAAGAGGAGAGAAGGCUAAGGAGGGAAGGAGGUCUGUGGUGAGAGGGGUUGAUGGAAAGAAGGGAAUGGCUACCAAAGACGUGAGGUCUCCGGUGAGAGGGUCUGCAGUGAAGGGUAAUGUGGGUUUGAGGAAAGUGGCGAGGAGUAGGAAGUAGCGAGUGAAGUGAGGGAGUUGCGAGGAGGCUGAGGUGAUUUGGGGGGAGUUAAAGCGGGAGGUUGAGCAGGUCUUCGCUGAAGGUUGAAGGUUUGGUAGCGAGGAGCAG
rnacentral:lncRNA from 1 species